UGGGCGGCUGUUGCCAAACUCCUAGGUUGAAAAUUGUAAUUGGACAAGGACAAUGACAGCAGAUUAAAUUAACUAAGGAUGUCACAACUUCUCUAUUGUCGCACAUAUAUAGAGUGUUUAUAGGAAAUGACAUUGUGACCAAUACUCAUUGCUUUUCCAUGACUUUCGGGUUCAUUUUGUGUUGUUUCAUGGUCAUGUAAUACGAAUUUAUGAAUAUAUACAUUUUUUCGUGUGUAUACUAUGCGAUUUUGUUGAAUUUUUUUGACGGACGUUGAUUGACCUGAAUUUCGUCGGUCCAUAGAAAAUGAGCUAGUGACAAAAACUCAUUGCUUCGCUAUUACUUUCGGGUUCAUUUUA